UUUUUCAGUAAGAAUUCACCCUUCCAAAGCAAGAAACUUGCAGAUUGCCACCCAUCUUCAGUCACACUUGAGACCAGAGAGACUGAAAUUGAAGGCGCUGGAAUAGACCUCAUCUUCCUGGAGGUAAGAGUUAUUCAAGAGCUCACUUGCAGGAAGUCUUUCAUCUACAGGAGCUAGACAGAUUUCUAUGAAAUUCUACUUGUGUUCCUGACUCUAAGUUAUACCUACUAAAGUAUUCUAGCAGUAAACAUUAUGUUAGCGUCAGACUUACAUAGUUGCUUUCGAAGAGCAAAAAGUUUAACGCAGCUGUAUUAGCAGGUCAAAAGUAACACCCGUUAACUCCAUAAUCCUAAAUCUCAAGAAAAGACUCACC
rnacentral:lncRNA from 1 species